CACGUAGGGCGCAAGCGUUGUCCGGAAUUAUUGGGCGUAAAGAGCUCGUAGGCGGUCUGUUGCGUCCGCUGUGAAAACUCGGGGCUUAACCCCGAGCCUGCAGUGGAUACGGGCAGGCUAGAGGUAGGUAGGGGAGAAUGGAAUUCCCGGUGUAGCGGUGAAAUGCGCAGAUAUCGGGAGGAACACCGGUGGCGAAGGCGGUUCUCUGGGACGGUACUGACGCUGAGACGCGAAAGCGUGGGGAGCGAACAGG
rnacentral:rRNA from 1 species